rnacentral:rRNA from 1 species
GGACAGAGGGUGCAAACGUUGCUCGGAAUUACUGGGCGUAAAGCGCGUGUAGGCGGUUCCGCCAGUCUGGUGUGAAAGCCCAGGGCUCAACCCUGGAAGCGCAUUGGAUACUACGGAGCUUGAGUCUGAAGAGGAGAGCGGAAUUCCCGGUGUAGAGGUGAAAUUCGUAGAUAUCGGGAGGAACACCAGUGGCGAAGGCGGACUCUCUGGACAGGUACUGACGCUGAGA